CUACGGGGGGCUGCAGUGGGGGAUAUUGCACAAUGGGCGAAAGCCUGAUGCAGCAACGCCGCGUGAAGGAAGACGGAUUUCGGUCUGUAAACUUCUAUCAGCAGGGAUGAAAAUGACAGUACCUGACUAAGAAGCCCCGGCUAACUACGUGCCAGCAGCCGCGGUAAUACGUAGGGGGCAAGCGUUAUCCGGAAUUACUGGGUGUAAAGGGUACGUAGGCGGCUGAUCAAGUCAGAUGUGAAAGCCCGGAGCUCAACUCCGGGACUGCAUUUGAAACUGGUCGGCUAGAGUGUAGGAGAGGAAAGUGGAAUUCCUAGUGUAGCGGUGAAAUGCGUAGAUAUUAGGAAGAACACCAGUGGCGAAGGCGGCUUUCUGGACUAUAACUGACGCUGAGGUACGAAAGCGUGGGGAGCAAACAGGAUUAGAUACCCCCGUAGUC
rnacentral:rRNA from 1 species